rnacentral:rRNA from 1 species
AAUAGAUACCCAGGUAGUCCACGCCGUAAACGAUGAGUGCUAAGUGUUAGAGGGUUUCCGCCCUUUAGUGCUGCAGCUAACGCAUUAAGCACUCCGCCUGGGGAGUACGGCCGCAAGGCUGAAACUCAAAGGAAUUGACGGGGGCCCGCACAAGCGGUGGAGCAUGUGGUUUAAUUCGAAGCAACGCGAAGAACCUUACCAGGUCUUGACAUCCUCUGCCAACCCUAGAGAUAGGGCGUUCCCCUUCGGGGGACAGAGUGACAGGUGGUGCAUGGUUGUCGUCAGCUCGUGUCGUGAGAUGUUGGGUUAAGUCCCGCAACGAGCGCAACCCUUGAUCUUAGUUGCCAGCAUUCAGUUGGGCACUCUAAGGUGACUGCCGGUGACAAACCGGAGGAAGGUGGGGAUAACGUCAAAUCAUCAUGCCCCUUAUGACCUGGGCUACACACGUGCUACAAUGGAUGGUACAAAGAGCUGCGAACCCGCGAGGGUAAGCGAAUCUCAUAAAGCCAUUCUCAGUUCGGA